CUGGCUGCAACUGUUUAUUAAAAACACAGCACUGUGCAAACACGAAAGUGGACGUAUACGGUGUGACGCCUGCCCGGUGCUGGAAGGUUAAUUGAUGGGGUUAUCCGUAAGGAGAAGCUCUUGAUCGAAGCCCCAGUAAACGGCGGCCGUAACUAUAACGGUCCUAAGGUAGCGAAAUUCCUUGUCGGGUAAGUUCCGACCUGCACGAAUGGCGUAAUGAUGGCCAGGCUGUCUCCACCCGAGACUCAGUGAAAUUGAACUCGCUGUGAAGAUGCAGUGUACCCGCGGCAAGACGGAAAGACCCCGUGAACCUUUACUAUAGCUUGACACUGAACAUUGAGCCUUGAUG
rnacentral:rRNA from 1 species